UGUAUUAGCAAAUAGUUUUUACAAUAUSGAUUUAAUCGACUAAAAUUCUAGGUAGAUUUAUGAUGAKGASAUUAUCUAUCUAUGUGUCUUGACCAAAUUUCGUGCCAGCAGUCGCGGUAAGACGUAAGAGACUAGUGUUAUUCAUCUUUAAUAGGUUUAAAGCGUACCUAGACGGUAAUUAAAGCCUAUAUCAGGAACUUGUUUACUAGAGUUAAAUGUAAGGGUGUAUUAAAGUACUGUUGAGUGUAGAGAUGAAAUUCGUUGAUACCAAAUAAUUGGCACAGGUAUAGGCGAAAGCAUCACUUUAUGUAAUAACUGACGUUGACGGACGAAGGCUUUGUGUCGCGAACAGGAUUAGAUACCCCAGUAGUCUUAGCAGAAAACUAUGAGUGUCAUAGGUUAGAUUUUAUUUGGUCUAUAAAUGAAAGUGUAAGCACUCCACCUCAAGAGUAAUUUGGCAACAUUGGAACUGAAAUCAUUAGACCGUUUCUGAAACCAGUAGUGAAGUAUGUUGUUUAAUUUGAUAAUCCGCAAAGAACCUUACCACAAUUUGAAUAUAAAUGAUUUAUUUUUACAAGCGUUGCACGGCUGUCUUCAGUUAAUGUCGUGAGAUAUUGGUUUAUUCCAUUAAAUUAACGUAAACCCGUACUUUAUUUUUAUAUAAAGUUGUUCAUUCGCUAUAAUGGAUGUGAUAACAGGGACUAAGACAAGUCAUCAUGGCCUAAAUAUUG
rnacentral:rRNA from 1 species